UACGUAGGUGGCAAGCGUUGUCCGGAUUUACUGGGCGUAAAGAGCGCGCAGGCGGUCGUUCAAGUCGCGUGUGAAAGCCCCCGGCUCAACUGGGGAGGGUCACGCGAUACUGAUCGACUCGAAGGCAGGAGAGGGUAGUGGAAUUCCCGGUGUAGUGGUGAAAUGCGUAGAUAUCAGGAGGAACACCGGUGGCGAAGGCGCUCAUCUGGCCCAAUACUGACGCUGAGGCGCGAAAGCGUGGGGAGCAAACAGG
rnacentral:rRNA from 1 species